UACGGAGGAUGCAAGCGUUAUCCGGAAUGAUUGGGCGUAAAGCGUCCGCAGGUGGCUGUGUAAGUCUGCUGUUAAAGAGUCUAGCUCAACUAGAUAUAAGCAGUGGAAACUACACGGCUAGAGUACGUUCGGGGCAGAGGGAAUUCCUGGUGUAGCGGUGAAAUGCGUAGAGAUCAGGAAGAACACCAGUGGCGAAGGCGCUCUGCUAGGCCGUAACUGACACUGAGGGACGAAAGCUAGGGGAGCGAAUGGG
rnacentral:rRNA from 1 species